CGAUCGGAGGGAUUCCUAAUCCCACAGCCCCCCGACACUAUAACACCCUCGCCCCGAAAGAAACGCCAUCUUUCAAUGGGCAGCAGAGCUGGGCGGGGGGACUGGGAUUUCCUGGAGCUUUUUGCACACGCUUGGAAAACUUCCCCCUGACAAGGGAAGAGGAAACCAUUGUAGCCUCCAGUCGCUUCACGGCCUUUGCCUCAAAGUGCCACAUUCCUCAAAAGUGAUUAUCAGGGACUAACCAGGGGUGAGGGCGGAGAAGAAAAAACAAAUGUGGGCAAGGAGCCUCCUGACUGUGACCCUUCCGAAAGGGAUGAAGUUUGACGCCAGUUUGAUGGUGAUUCUAAAAGGAAUAAGCAGGCCCGAUUCCACUUGGAUUUGGAGCAAAACUACCAUUUCGAUUUCAUCCUUUUGAUUUUUGCCAAACGGAAGAAGCUGGAACAAUUAACAUCUACAUUUUAAAAGCCCCCCAAAUGACAACAUGAUACCAACAAAACAGAUGAAAUGCAGUUGUGCUGAAACAUCAGAAAAAGCCAAUAAAAAACAUUCAGCUGCACCCCAAGAGUCACCUUCCACUAGUACCAAUAAAAAGUUAAGUGUGCCAGAACAAACUGAACCAAUGAUCAUCGUUUCACCACCUUCAGGAGAAUGUCUAAUAAGGUACGCCAUACCCAUUCCAUCUGAUAACUCACAGACGACGCAUGAUCUGCAGAUGCUUAGGCAAACCAUCGACCACCUCAGUCAGACUGUUUCUGUAAUGCAAGAUGUCUAUGCUAUAACUGGAGAAGGUGAAGUAAUUGAAGAAGUUCAAGAUACAGAAGAGGAGGAAAGGGCAUGCCCUGGAGAUGAUAUGACCUCAUUCUUUUUUAAUUGUUCAUCAAUUGCAACUCAGCUACAGAAAGCAGUUCAGGAAGAAGAAAUUAUAUUGGAGUCCCUGAAUCAGUGGUUUCAGCAGGAGGUAACUCUUGUGGAAAAGUUAGGUCAAGAGCAGAAUGUUCCUGAUUGGGAGCUUCCUUUGCCUGAUAAAACAAUAACUAAAAAUAUUACUAAAAUAGCAAAGCAAGUGAAGAAACUUGAAGAACUGAAGGAUCGCCUUCAAAAGAUACCCAAACCUACUCGGGCUUUAGUCUCUAAAGUCAAACCAGAGAAGAAAAAACCUCUAGACCUGGGUCAAGUGUUAAAAGAUUCCAAUUUCAAUAUGGAAGAAUUUAUUAAAACCUGUGGAGUAGAUAUUGUGAAUAUCCUUCAGGAGGCACAAGAUGAUGACUAUUCCUCCUCAACUGAUUUUCUGACUCAUCGUUUGCAUGACAUACUGAAAAUAUUUGAAAGGCAGUCAACUAAGCUGCAAAGAGUUUUAAAUGAACAAGAUAUUCUAGAGGACAAAUACAGGCAGAUGCAAAAUGAGUAUCAGUUGCUAGCCGAGGAAAAAAUGAUGAUGGACAAUGCACUAAAAAAAUUAAAGGGGUCAGAACAAGGAGAGGUAACUGCUGCUAAAUGUGAGAAAGCGAAACGUAUUGAGAAGGAAGUUCUUCGACCUUCUGGAAGUAAAGCGUUGGAUGGACAACAGGCUACCCUUGACUCAACAUUCAAAGAAUCUGAAAAUAUUAAAAUGAAACGUGACUUACUUCAAGCCCAGAAAACAGUAAAAAUUCUGGAAGCUGAGAAUAAAGCCCUUCAAGAAAAAUUGCAACAAGCUUUACAGGGAGCUGAAAAAGCUAAGGAGGAACAUGUAAAAUCAGCAUCAUUUUCGGAAGUCUCACAGAAGUAUAAGAAAUAUGAAAGUGAAGACACUAACAAAGCAAGUUUAAAGAAAGCCAGGGAAAGCAUAACCAAAAGCAAACGGGAAUAUUCAAGGAGGAAAUCUGGAGAUAAAGAAGUCACAAAAUUUGCAACAGAGUCAGCACAAAAGGACAUUAGAACCGAAAGAAGAAGCGUAACUGGCAAAGAACAAUCACCUCAGGCUUUAUCCCAUGGUACACGGGGUUCUCUGAAAUCUGCUGUUGAAACCAAAGAAAAAUCAAAGAUUUCCCAAGGGAAAAAAACAAAUUUAGAAGGAGAAAGCUCAAGGAAGGAAACCCACAGUCCUGCUAUUUCAGAUCUUUCACAAUUACCCAAGAUGGAAGAAGAAUCACCCUCCUUAAAGAAUAAAAAUAAGCUAUUCUUACUAAGAUUAAGAUCUUCAGAUAAUCAAGAAUCAUCCAAGAGUAUCUCUUCUGAGACACAAGAAAAAUCAUUUCUACCUAUUUUAUCCACAAAGGAAAAACAAGUAUCAUCAUCAAGUAGAUCAAGUGUUGAAAGAGACAAUGUUUUGACCAAGUUGCCAGAACUCUUAGGGCCUGAAUUUCAAGACACCCAGUUACUCACUACUUCUCAUGAAAAAGAAACUGAUAGUAAAUUACCUAAGGGUGCUGUUUCAGAAAUACUAUUACCAAGUGACAAUUUACAACAAAUAUGUCGUGAAGCAGAGUUUCAAGCUGCAGAGGGGAGAGUCAAAGAAUUAGAGAGGAAAGUACACGGGGAUUUAAUCCAGUUGACUGAUUUAGAAUAUAAGAAACCUGGUCAGAAUCUUGCAGAAACAGAUGGAGUCACUGGUAUUUCAGAAGAACUUGAAACAACAAACCAGUUAACAGACCCGCAAGCAGUCACAGGAGAAAUAUUCAGAGCAUCACCUAGAAGUCAUUGUAUUUCAGAAGAACUUGAAACAACAAACCAGUUGACAGACCUGCAAGCAGUCACAACAGGAACAGUCAGAGCAUCAGCUAGAAGUCAUUGUAUUUCAGAAGAACUUGAAACAACAAAUCAGUUGACAGACCUGCAAGCAAUCACGGCAGGAAUAGUCAGAGCAUCAGCCGGAAGUCAUUCUCCACAGCUCUCCGGUGUCACUCUUGUAACACCUGGGAAGGAAACAACUGAUUUAGAGGCAAAUUUGGAAGGCAAACAACAAAUUCAGAUAGCUGACAUUGACCAAUCUGAAGAAAUCAGUAGUCCACAGCACCCUGUCUCAGCUCUGACGAUACCUCAAGAAGCCUCAGAAUACUGUGUAGAAGCCACUGGUCCAGACUCAUCCUUGAAAGCCCUUCAUCAAAUUCAGACUCUUAUAAUUGACCAACCAGAGAAAAUCAGUGAGAAUAAUGUAGAAGAUUUAUCAAAGUGUAUCAUGUGGCAUUAUCCAAAGGAAAAAAGUGUUCAGCCUGUGGGUCGGCCAGCUUCCUCAAACAGUAGUCCACGUGUGGAGAUGCUUUCCACACUACGAGUUCCACAGAAGGAGGGCCUUGAGGAUAACGUGGAAGAUUUAUCAAAGACUAAAACGCAGGACUUCCCAAAGAAAAAAGGUGUUCAGCUUGUGGAUCAACCAUCCUCUCCACCCACAAGGUCAAAAGUAGUUAUUUUUUCCAAACCACAAGGGCCACAAACGGCGUUCGUUGCUCCAGGUAUGCAGAGAUCUGUAGAUGGAAAGAACAUUUGGCUUCAGACCCAGGAACUUCACAAGAGGAGCUUUCUACCAGUUAGGUCACCAAAGACUGUGGAUUUAUUGCUUUCCCAAGGCCAAGUACGUGGCCAGAAACCCUUCGUGGACACAGUCACACCAGUUUGGAACAAAAACUUCCCAUUAUCGACCAGAAUGAUCACCCAGGUUGCAAGGGUGGAUAUGAGCAAAAUUAAUGCAUCCAAAUACCGAUCUUUCCCUGUGAUUUCUAGACUACUGUCAGUAAAGGACACUCAGCUUCUGCCAUUUCAACUGGCCACUAAGCAGACUAACUAUUUGGCGAAGAAUUCGCUUUCUCCUGCUAAAAGGACCUUCAGUGCAGGUACCAAGAAUGCUUCUCACCUUUUUGGUGUAUGCACUCGGUUCCAGCCCGCUGCACAGAUUACAGAGAUGCCCUUGUUUCUUUCUGGAAAGAGUUUCUGCCAAUCAAGACCAGAAAUGAUCACUACAGUUAAAAACAGGUCAUUCCUGAAACACUAAGUUACUCAGAGGAGCUGUAAAGGAAAUCCACUCCAGACCUGAAUACAGAGGGCAGCAUCCAGGAAUGGUAAGCAGUAACUACAACUCAAAUGGAUAGCAUCUAUCUGUCUAUUAGUUUGCCCAGCUGUUCCGAGCUGAUCUUAAUGCUGAGAAAAAAUAAUUUUAGGGGAGAGCCAGUUUCCCUAUGUUUGGUCUUUUAAGCUAUCAGAUGCUUUUUCUCCUUACCUCAACUUGUCAGGGUCCAUUUCUCUUU